rnacentral:rRNA from 1 species
AGAGUUUGAUCCUGGCUCAGGAUGAACGCUGGCGGCGUGCCUAACACAUGCAAGUCGAGCGAAGCAGUUAAGAAGAUUCUUCGGAUGAUUCUUAAUUGACUGAGCGGCGGACGGGUGAGUAACGCGUGGGUGACCUGCCCCAUACCGGGGGAUAACAGCUGGAAACGGCUGCUAAUACCGCAUAAGCGCACAGAGUUGCAUGGCUCGGUGUGAAAAACUCCGGUGGUAUGGGAUGGGCCCGCGUCUGAUUAGGCAGUUGGCGGGGUAACGGCCCACCAAACCGACGAUCAGUAGCCGGCCUGAGAGGGCGACCGGCCACAUUGGGACUGAGACACGGCCCAAACUCCUACGGGAGGCAGCAGUGGGGAAUAUUGCACAAUGGGGGAAACCCUGAUGCAGCGACGCCGCGUGAGCGAAGAAGUAUUUCGGUAUGUAAAGCUCUAUCAGCAGGGAAGAUAAUGACGGUACCUGACUAAGAAGCCCCGGCUAACUACGUGCCAGCAGCCGCGGUAAUACGUAGGGGGCAAGCGUUAUCCGGAUUUACUGGGUGUAAAGGGAGCGUAGGCGGUCCUGCAAGUCUGAUGUGAAAGGCCGGGGCUCAACCCCGGGACUGCAUUGGAAACUGUAGGACUAGAGUGUCGGAGGGGUAAGUGGAAUUCCUAGUGUAGCGGUGAAAUGCGUAGAUAUUAGGAGGAACACCAGUGGCGAAGGCGGCUUACUGGACGACUACUGACGCUGAGGCUCGAAAGCGUGGGGAGCAAACAGAAGUAGAUACCCUGGUAGUCCACGCCGUAAACGAUAAAUUCUUUGGUGUUGGCAGGUAAGACCUGUCGGUGCCGCAGCAUACGCAAUAAGUAUUCCACCUGGGGAGUUCGUUCGCAAGAAUGAAACUCAAAGGAAUUGACGGGGACCCGCACAAGCGGUGGAGCAUGUGGUUUAAUUCGAAGCAACGCGAAGAACCUUACCAAGUCUUGACAUCGAUCUGACCGGUUCGUAAUGGAACCUUUCCUUCGGGACAGAGAAGACAGGUGGUGCAUGGUUGUCGUCAGCUCGUGUCGUGAGAUGUUGGGUCAAGUCCCGCAACGAGCGCAACCCCUAUUGUCAGUAGCCAGCAGGUAGAGCUGGGCACUCUGAUGAGACUGCCAGGGAUAACCUGGAGGAAGGCGGGGACGACGUCAAAUCAUCAUGCCCCUUAUGAUUUGGGCUACACACGUGCUACAAUGGCGUAAACAAAGGGAAGCGAGCCCGCGAGGGGGAGCAAAUCCCAAAAAUAACGUCCCAGUUCGGACUGCAGUCUGCAACUCGACUGCACGAAGCUGGAAUCGCUAGUAAUCGCGAAUCAGAAUGUCGCGGUGAAUACGUUCCCGGGUCUUGCACACACCGCC